CUUGCGGCGUGCUUAACACAUGCAAGUCGAACGGAAAGGCCCUGCUUUUGUGGGGUGCUCGAGUGGCGAACGGGUGAGUAACACGUGAGUAACCUGCCCUUGACUUUGGGAUAACUUCAGGAAACUGGGGCUAAUACCGGAUAGGAGCUCCUGCUGCAUGGUGGGGGUUGGAAAGUUUCGGCGGUUGGGGAUGGACUCGCGGCUUAUCAGCUUGUUGGUGGGGUAGUGGCUUACCAAGGCUUUGACGGGUAGCCGGCCUGAGAGGGUGACCGGCCACAUUGGGACUGAGAUACGGCCCAGACUCCUACGGGAGGCAGCAGUGGGGAAUAUUGCACAAUGGGCGGAAGCCUGAUGCAGCAACGCCGCGUGCGGGAUGACGGCCUUCGGGUUGUAAACCGCUUUCGCCUGUGACGAAGCGUGAGUGACGGUAAUGGGUAAAGAAGCACCGGCUAACUACGUGCCAGCAGCCGCGGUGAUACGUAGGGUGCGAGCGUUGUCCGGAUUUAUUGGGCGUAAAGGGCUCGUAGGUGGUUGAUCGCGUCGGAAGUGUAAUCUUGGGGCUUAACCCUGAGCGUGCUUUCGAUACGGGUUGACUUGAGGAAGGUAGGGGAGAAUGGAAUUCCUGGUGGAGCGGUGGAAUGCGCAGAUAUCAGGAGGAACACCAGUGGCGAAGGCGGUUCUCUGGGCCUUUCCUGACGCUGAGGAGCGAAAGCGUGGGGAGCGAACAGGCUUAGAUACCCUGGUAGUCCACGCUGUAAACGGUGGGUACUAGGUGUGGGGUCCAUUCCACGGGUUCCGUGCCGUAGCUAACGCUUUAAGUACCCCGCCUGGGGAGUACGGCCGCAAGGCUAAAACUCAAAGGAAUUGACGGGGCCCCGCACAAGCGGCGGAGCAUGCGGAUUAAUUCGAUGCAACGCGUAGAACCUUACCUGGGUUUGACAUGGAUCGGGAGUGCUCAGAGAUGGGUGUGCCUCCUUUGGGGUCGGUUCACAGGUGGUGCAUGGCUGUCGUCAGCUCGUGUCGUGAGAUGUUGGGUUAAGUCCCGCAACGAGCGCAACCCUUGUUCACUGUUGCCAGCACGUUAUGGUGGGGACUCAGUGGAGACCGCCGGGGUCAACUCGGAGGAAGGUGGGGAUGACGUCAAGUCAUCAUGCCCCUUAUGUCCAGGGCUUCACGCAUGCUACAAUGGCUGGUACAGAGAGUGGCGAGCCUGUGAGGGUGAGCGAAUCUCGGAAAGCCGGUCUCAGUUCGGAUUGGGGUCUGCAACUCGACCUCAUGAAGUCGGAGUCGCUAGUAAUCGCAGAUCAGCAACGCUGCGGUGAAUACGUUCCCGGGGCUUGUACACACCGCCCGUCAAGUCAUGAAAGUUGGUAACACCCGAAGCCGGUGGCCUAACCGUUGUGGGGGAGCCGUCGAAGGUGGGACUGGUGAUUAGG
rnacentral:rRNA from 1 species